ACCUGCUUGACUCCCUUGACGCCAAGUAGGAAGUCAUCAAGCUUGAAUUUUGAUAAAGCUUCUUAGGUGGCAUCCAGGGAGCCAGGCAGAU
rnacentral:pre_miRNA from 1 species